CAAUGGAUGGAUCACAGACGAACUUCUACAAUGGAUAGACUCCACCAGCAGGAUCUCUACUCCGAACUUCUUUCGGACUUCGUCAAUGACCGAGCUUCUCCAGCAGUGGGACUCCUACAGUAAAAAGUCUCUAUCUGAGCUUCCACGAUGACUGGCCUUCAUCCGAGCUUCUAUAAUAAGCGGCCUCCUUUCAGACUCCUACA
rnacentral:lncRNA from 1 species